UACGGAGGGUGCGAGCGUUGUCCGGAAUCAUUGGGCGUAAAGGGCGCGUAGGUGGCCCGGUCAGUUCGUGGUGAAAGCGCGGGGCUCAACCCUGCGUCGGCCAUGAAUACUGCCGCGGCUGGAGCACUGUAGAGGCAGGCGGAAUUCCGGGUGUAGCGGUGGAAUGCGUAGAGAUCCGGAAGAACACCGGUGGCGAAGGCGGCCUGCUGGGCAGUUGCUGACACUGAGGCGCGACAGCGUGGGGAG
rnacentral:rRNA from 1 species